rnacentral:pre_miRNA from 1 species
GUGAACUGUCGAGUAGUUUAGGUAGUUUCAUGUUGUUGGGCUCCUUUUUCUAACUCUACAACACGAAACUGUCUUAAUUACCCCAGUUAAA